rnacentral:rRNA from 1 species
UACGUAGGGUGCGAGCGUUAAUCGGAAUUACUGGGCGUAAAGCGUGCGCAGGCGGUUUGAUAAGACAGGCGUGAAAUCCCCGGGCUCAACCUGGGAACUGCGUUUGUGACUGUCUCACUAGAGUACGGCAGAGGGGGGUGGAAUUCCACGUGUAGCAGUGAAAUGCGUAGAGAUGUGGAGGAACACCAAUGGCGAAGGCAGCCCCCUGGGUCGAUACUGACGCUCAUGCACGAAAGCGUGGGUAGCAAACAGGAUUAGAUACCCUGGUAGUCCACGCCCUAAACGAUGUCAACUAGGUGUUGGGAGGGUAAAACCUUUUAGUACCGGAGCUAACGCGUGAAGUUGACCGCCUGGGGAGUACGGCCGCAAGGUUAAA